GACGAACGCUGGCGGCGUGCUUAACACAUGCAAGUCGAACGGAAAGGCCCUGCUUUUGUGGGGUGCUCGAGUGGCGAACGGGUGGGUAACACGUGAGUAACCUGCCCUUGACUUUGGGAUAACUUCAGGAAACUGGGGCUAAUACCGGAUAGGAGCUCCUGCUGCAUGGUGGGGGUUGGAAAGUUUCGGCGGUUGGGGAUGGACUCGCGGCUUAUCAGCUUGUUGGUGGGGUAGUGGCUUACCAAGGCUUUGACGGGUAGCCGGCCUGAGAGGGUGACCGGCCACAUUGGGACUGAGAUACGGCCCAGACUCCUACGGGAGGCAGCAGUGGGGAAUAUUGCACAAUGGGCGGAAGCCUGAUGCAGCAACGCCGCGUGCGGGAUGACGGCCUUCGGGUUGUAAACCGCUUUCGCCUGUGACGAAGCGUGAGUGACGGUGAUGGGUAAAGAAGCACCGGCUAACUACGUG
rnacentral:rRNA from 1 species